GAUGAACGCUGGCGGCGUGCCUAAUACAUGCAAGUCGAGCGAACGGACGAGAAGCUUGCUUCUCUGAUGUUAGCGGCGGACGGGUGAGUAACACGUGGAUAACCUACCUAUAAGACUGGGAUAACUUCGGGAAACCGGAGCUAAUACCGGAUAAUAUUUUGAACCGCAUGGUUCAAAAGUGAAAGACGGUCUUGCUGUCACUUAUAGAUGGAUCCGCGCUGCAUUAGCUAGUUGGUAAGGUAACGGCUUACCAAGGCAACGAUGCAUAGCCGACCUGAGAGGGUGAUCGGCCACACUGGAACUGAGACACGGUCCAGACUCCUACUGGAGGCAGCAGUAGGGAAUCUUCCGCAAUGGGCGAAAGCCUGACGGAGCAACGCCGCGUGAGUGAUGAAGGUCUUCGGAUCGUAAAACUCUGUUAUUAGGGAAGAACAUAUGUGUAAGUAACUGUGCACAUCUUGACGGUACCUAAUCAGAAAGCCACGGCUAACUACGUG
rnacentral:rRNA from 1 species